GUAGGCAGCGAGCGUUGUUCGGAGUUACUGGGCGUAAAGGGUGUGUAGGCGGUUGUUUAAGUUUGGUGUGAAAUCUCCCGGCUCAACUGGGAGGGUGCGCCGAAUACUGAAUGACUUCGAGUGCGGGAGAGGAAAGUGGAAUUCCUGGUGUAGCGGUGAAAUGCGUAGAUAUCAGGAGGAACACCGGUGGUGUAGACGGCUUUCUGGACCGUAACUGACGCUGAGACACGAAAGCGUGGGUAGCAAACAGGAUUAGAUACCCUGGUAGUCCACGCCCUAAACGAUGCAUAUUUGGUGUGGGCAGUUCAUUCUGUCCGUGCCGGAGCUAACGCGUUAAAUAUGCCGCCUGGGGAGUACAGUCGCAAGGCUG
rnacentral:rRNA from 1 species